UCUAGAAGGCAGCCAUCCCCCUACCCCCUCUCCAUCCACCCUCACCCAUCUCUACCCCAUCUCCCUCGUCUCUCUAGUCCAUUAUCGGUUCCGAAACAUUAAUGGAAAACCGUGGUGAUGAAUGGAAGAAAUGCAAUAUGGACAGAGACGUGAAGAAUGUUGACACCAGCCCGCCAAUCACAAUCACUGUCUACCGCUGUCCAAACUGACGAGCUGAUCUGCCUGGCUCGUCAUGUGGUAGCGGCAGCUAUGGGUGUGAGUGAGCGCUGGUCGUCCCCUUGGCCCCCCUGAGGCCUGCCGAGGACAGUGGAGGAGAGACAGGAAAUGAGUGGAGAGAGAGACAGGGAAUGAUCCGCACAUUACCUUGGCCGGAAUCAAACCCGGG